UCUUGUGCUCUCAGGUCCUUAGGAGGACCAGAAAACCCAUCUGGGAUUUCUCUUAGGGACCUUGACUCCAGCUCCAUGGAUUGGAGCCUGGGAUGUGCAGGAUAUGAAGGCCCCUUUCUUAGGAAUUCAUAUCAAUUCCUCACUCUCUUGCUCUCUUUUCCCAAGUAUCUUCUUUCCUCGAACCUAUGAGAUUUUCUGCUGGUCUUGGGGGGUGGGGUGGGGCAGUGGCUGCCAUGGGAGGAGGCAGAUGGCUUAUGCAUCACCCUGCAAUCUCUCCAACGCCAUUGUUUAUGCUCAGGUGCUUCCUUGACUCAAAACAAAAUGAACAUGGAGGAGGAUCUUUAAGGGAGUGUGUUUUUACAUUGAAAGAACAUGGAACUUGCUGGAGAGCUGGAUCACUUCAAACGACUCCAUAUUUUUCUGUUCCCAAUUAAACUUCCCAGAAUGUUUUCA